GAUGAACGCUGACAGAAUGCUUAACACAUGCAAGUCUUUGGCGAAGCUGUGCUUGCACAGCCUAGCCAAGGCGGACGGGUGAGUAACGCGUAAGGAACUUGCCCUGCAGUCAGGGAUAACAGACGGAAACGACUGAUAAGACCUGGUAAAGUCAGGCGGACUCAUGUCCAGCCUGAUGAAAAGAGAUGCUGCAGGAGAGCCUUGCGUCCUAUUAGCUUGUUGGUGGGGUAACGGCCCACCAAGGCGAUGAUAAGUAGCCGGCCUGAGAGGGUGGACGGCCACAAGGGGACUGAGAUACGGCCCUUACUCCUACGGGAGGCAGCAGUGGGGAAUAUUGGACAAUGGGGGCAACCCUGAUCCAGCAAUUCUGUGUGAACGAUGAAGGUUUUCGGAUUGUAAAGUGCUUUCAGCAGGGAAGAAAAAAAUGACGGUACCUGCAGAAGAAGCGACGGCUAAAUACGUG
rnacentral:rRNA from 1 species